GGUCGGUUAGUUCAGCUCGGUAGAACGUCGGAUUCCAGACCCGAAGGUCACUGGUUCGAGUCCAGUACUGAUCA
rnacentral:tRNA from 1 species